rnacentral:lncRNA from 1 species
CUUCUUCUCAAAUUCCUUUCUUUCUCCAAGUUCUUUGCUCUUACAUCCCACAUUGCUGCUGCUUUACAAAUUUGGUUUGCUUCAACGGGAAUCAAUUCCUGCUUCGAUGGAAUACUUUCAGGUGAGGAUUGGUUCUUCUAUCUAUUGUUCUCUGAAAUUGAUUUUCAAUUCGGCUAUUUUUUCAUAGUUUGAAUGUGCUUUUCAAAUUUUAAAUACAAAGGAAACCAAAAUUGAACUAUUGGUUUAAUACUUCAAUCUCUUUCUGAUUUGGGCAAUUGGUGUGAAGUGAAGCCAAAAUUUAGGAAAAUCCGAUUUAGUUUGUAGGCAUACUGUUUUCCUAUUACUGAUGGAUUAAUUUCAUUAACAAAUUGAUUUUACAGAGGAUUUUUAAUUGUCUUACAAGAAGGUUUAGUGCAGUUCUUUUGUGUGCCACUUAUACUGCUUUUGUGUUUUUUUAUUUGUUUGUUCUUCUACUCCAAAAUUCUCCUCUUAUUGUUUGCUAAAUCAAAUGUCGUAGUCGCGUACUUCUUCUAAAAAUUCUUUCAUGUUCCAUAAUUUGCUCUCUUCUUUCUAUUGUUUUCCAAAAUUAUUUUAAAUAUUGAACUCAUACUAUAUAUUAUUCCAAAACCAUUUCAGUCUCUUCAUUUAGAUCACCCAAACAUUCCCAAAUAGAUAAAAUUUACAGGCUCCAACCUAUAAUGAGAAUAGGGCUUCAGCCAAACACUGGAGAUGAUUGAGAUGCACAACAAUGUAUACUAAAAUAUUUGGAGGUCUGACUAAGAUAAUUAGGUAGCCAAGACUUCUAUCUUUGCAAUUUAGAUAUGAAAAAUUAACAAGCGCAAUGAAUUUAGUAGCCAUGAUUUGCCGACCUUAACUGCAUGUUGACUGUGGUUCACAAUCUACAUUAUUUAAACACCAAGGCAACACCAAUUAGUAUGAGAGGGGUGAGAACCUGUAAAACAGUCCAACCUUGCUCCCUGUAGUACCUUUGUUAUUAACCACGACAGAGAAGGACCCUCUAUAUGAGGGGCCAGACUCCAAAUUGGAUCAGAUCAAUCACCAGUUAAUUUUCAAGUUGAUGUUGGUAAUGAAGGCCAUUCGUUGAUGCCAAUAUUAGAGUAUUGAUCUUGAUUUUUAAAGUUAGUGAUAUGUUAUAGGUUUACUUAUAAUUUUCAUUGUUGUAGAUUUCCCCAAAUUGAUGACAAAAAUUUACACAUAUGUAAUCAUAUAUAUGGAUGUCCAUCAGUUAUUCUUAACCCAGACACAUCAGUUUCUCCUUACACAACAAACAUGAAUACUUAUACAAACAUCAAGCUACACAGACAACUCUUAGUUCUGCCAAAGGCAACCCAAGGAAAUGUUUCUUAGACAAACACUAGCUUAGAAGUAACAAAAAAAAACACUAGAUGACAUGAAUAAAGGAAGGGGGAAAAUAUUAUUCAUGGUCUUAGUACAUGGUUUCAUUUAGUAUCAAUUUUAGAUAAUGGUCUUAGAAGCAAUUGUUAUAUUGUCUAUAUCUUAAGUUAUCACUGAAUGAGUGGGAAACCAAACAAAGAGCUAGAUUGACUAUUGCUCUAACUACUUUAACAUUUAGAGUUUUUGGAUGUUCAAUAGUUUGAUGUUCGCACAUGAACAUUUUGCUUUAUGACAUAAAUACAUGCAUAUUGCAGUUUAGUUUUGAGGCGACCCUUCAAUAGGUCAUCCAACAGAUACACUGAAUUCAUCGUUGGAAGCCAAAAAACAACUUAUCAUUCAAGAAGUCAAGGUGGUGCCACCAACAAACAUGAAGUUGCUCGAGGAUCUCAGUUAUUUCAUAUUUGCUUCUCGGUAUGCAAGGUAUGAAUACUCACAAAAGUGACGUUUUGCUUCUUUUUAAUUUGUCUUCAUUUCUUUGAUCUAUAUAUUUGAUGGUCAAGAAUCAUUACUUUUGCGGACAACAUGUCCUUGCAGAUUUAUAAGAAAAUUACAUCCUCAAAUAUUUCAUUGUUAACAAUAUGCGUAUACUUUCUCAUUCCCAAGUAAGGAUUCCCAUUAGUUGUCCAUGCAAGGUCAUCCAUCCUUAGAAUGUGAUGAGAGACGUGGGUCGCAGAAACAUAUACUGAAAUUUAAAAGUUGCCUAUUCGAACGAGCUUGAAAAAAAUAAUCUAUUUUUUCUUCGAUUUUAUCCACCAUUUUCUCAAUUUAAACAUUUCUAACUAUCACACUCAUGCGAAAUAAAAGUCUAAGUAUAGGCUAAUUAUCACUUUUUUUAAUAUCUUUUGUUUUCUAUUCAGUUCUUUGAGAUCUAUUAGUUUCCAGUGUGCGUUUAAUCCUUAGAUGAACCAUAUGACAGUGAAGAAUACAACCAUUGACAAUAAUGAUAACUUGAUACUCUAAUCAUUUCAAGGGAACCGAGAUUAGGGAUUGUCUAUGUGAGGAUUGUAACAAACUUUAUUGAGCAACAAGAGUAUGAACUCUGCUGAUUGACAUUGGUGUUCAAAGUCAUAACUGUUCAACCCUCCAACUGAUGAUAAACCAGUAGCAAAAUCAGUUGCAUAGUUUCUUAUGAGAUGGUGUUCUAAUAAACCAAAGUUGGAACUAUUGUAAUGAGGUGGUGUUCAUAUGCCUACCUGUUUUUUAUUCAGUGUAGUUCACAUAUAUCAACCUGUUUUGUUUAGGCAAAAUCGUUUUUUGGCGUUUUCCGUUAGAUUGUGUUAUAAGCAAGUCUGCAUCAGAUUUUUAAGAUUAUAACAGCUUGGAAAAAUAAAUAUGACAUCCGACCUUUGUGCAGGGCCGGCUCAAGAGAUGUGGGGGCUUUAGGCAAACCGGUCUUUGAAGUAGAAAUCAGAAAAUAUUUUGAAGAAAAAACGU